rnacentral:rRNA from 1 species
CGGAUAGAGCUAGCGAACUCGCCUGCAUUCAGCCAAAGGCUCGUGGUCGCCGGCUGUUCGGUUGUUCAUAGCGCCGAGCGGUUGGAGUGGCUAUGUGCUGAGGUGCAUUUGUGGGUGUUUGCGCUGAGACUUGUGGGGUAGCUGCUGGACCCGUUGACUAGAGGCCGUCCUUUGGGCGGAACCUUGUUGCGGUGACGGCUGUUUGCCCUGCUCGUAAUUGGAUACGGCGAACGAGCGUCGGCUUUGUUGUCGUCUCGCUGCAGUGGUAUCGCAUGCGAUGCCUAGUGGUGGGGCGCUGAUUGGGUCUGCGCUCCCGUGUCUGUUCUCGGUGUAAGAGCUGGUCAUCUCUCCGACCCGUCUUGAAACACGGACCAAGGAGUUUAGCGUAUGCGCAAGUCAUUGGGUGUUGAAAACCCAUAGGCGCAAUGAAAGUAAAGGCCCGGUCGCUGGGCUGACAUGCGAGUGCUUGGGCUUCGGCCUUUGCGCGCAGCAUGGUCCCGUUUCGGUCGCUUGCGACGGAGCGGAGACAGAGCGUAUGCGCUGAG